CCUACGGGUGGCAGCAGUGAGGAAUAUUGGUCAAUGGGCUUACGCCUGAACCAGCCAAGUCGCGUGAGGGAAGACUGCCCUAUGGGUUGUAAACCUCUUUUGUCAGGGAGCAACGCCGGCUACGUGUAGCCGGACUGAGAGUACCUGAAGAAAAAGCAUCGGCUAACUCCGUCCCAGCAGCCGCGGUAAUACGGAGGAUGCGAGCUUUUUCCGGUUUUUUUGGGUUUAAGGGGUGCGUAAGCGGAAUGCAAAGUCAGUGGUAAAAUCGCGGGGCUCACCCUAGCUUCGCCGUUGAAACUGGCGUUCUUGAGUGGGCGAGAAGUAGGCGGAAUGCGUGGUGUAGCGGUGAAAUGCAUAGAUAUCACGCAGAACUCCGAUUGCGAAGGCAGCAUACCGGCGCCCAACUGACGCUGAAGCACGAAAGCGUGGGUAUCGAACAGGAUUAGAUACCCUGGUAGUC
rnacentral:rRNA from 1 species